rnacentral:rRNA from 1 species
UCAAAUGAAUUGACGGGGGCCCGCACAAGCGGUGGAGCAUGUGGUUUAAUUCGAUGCAACGCGAAGAACCUUACCUGGUCUUGACAUCCACGGAAGUUUUCAGAGAUGAGAAUGUGCCUUCGGGAACCGUGAGACAGGUGCUGCAUGGCUGUCGUCAGCUCGUGUUGUGAAAUGUUGGGUUAAGUCCCGCAACGAGCGCAACCCUUAUCCUUUGUUGCCAGCGGUCCGGCCGGGAACUCAAAGGAGACUGCCAGUGAUAAACUGGAGGAAGGUGGGGAUGACGUCAAGUCAUCAUGGCCCUUACGACCAGGGCUACACACG